CACCUCUAGCAUUACUAGUAUUAGAGGCACUGCCUGCCCAGUGACAUUAGUUAAACGGCCGCGGUAUCCUGACCGUGCAAAGGUAGCAUAAUCAUUUGUUCUUUAAAUAGGGACUUGUAUGAACGGCCACACGAGGGUUCUACUGUCUCUUGCUUCCAAUCAGUGAAAUUGACCUCCCCGUGCAGAGGCGGGGAUACACAAAUAAGACGAGAAGACCCUAUGGAGCUUUAAUUAACUAACUCAAAGAAAAUAUAAAUAACCGCCAAGGGAUAAUAAUCUUCUACCUGAGUUAGCAAUUUCGGUUGGGGUGACCUCGGAGAACAGAAAAACCUCCGAGUGACUAAAAUCUAGACUUACCAGUCAAAAUGUAGUGUCACUUAUUGAUCCAAAAUAUUUGAUCAACGGAACAAGUUACCCUAGGGAUAACAGCGCAAUCCUAUUCAAGAGUUCAUAUCGACAAUAGGGUUUACGACCUCGAUGUUGGAUCAGGACACCCCAAUGGUGCAGCCGCUAUUAAAGGUUCGUUUGUUCGACGAUUAAAGUCCU
rnacentral:rRNA from 1 species